rnacentral:lncRNA from 1 species
AGGCCACCAUGGAGGCAGGAGUUAGCCUCAUAGCAGCACAAAAAAUUGGUAUUGCACGAAGUUUCGUAAUGCUAGAGCCACGGCGUUGUGAUGAACAUCGACCACAGAGUCAUGUAUAGCCACAAUAAAAUCACUGCAAGUUAGAAUCGGAGGUCUCUGAAGGGCAUCGCAUGAAGUCUCGUAACAUGCCCUCAGAACCUCCGACUCACAUACCCGAAGGAUACCUUCGACAACACUCCACGGGAGUCGAGCAAAGGCAAAGAUGAGCUCAAUUCGGCAGAGGCUCCUUCGCACCAAGGCAAGCGAAGGCCCUAAGGUCAAGGAGCAGCAAGCCUACGCAUCCCACAUAUCCACCAGCGCCUUCGCUACAUCGAGCAUCAAGUAAUUAGUUGCAACAGCAACACAAAGAUCCUUAGGAUCAACGCUCGCUGCGCAUUCAACAAACACAUGUAAUCAC